GACGAACGCUGGCGGCGUGCUUAACACAUGCAAGUCGAACGGAAAGGCCCUGCCUUUGUGGGGUGCUCGAGUGGCGAACGGGUGAGUAACACGUGAGUAACCUGCCCUUGACUUUGGGAUAACUUCAGGAAACUGGGGCUAAUACCGGAUAGGAGCUCCUGCUGCAUGGUGGGGGUUGGAAAGUUUCGGCGGUCGGGGAUGGAUUCGCGGCUUAUCAGCUUGUUGGUGGGGUAGUGGCUUACCAAGGCUUUGACGGGUAGCCGGCCUGAGAGGGUGACCGGCCACAUUGGGCCUGAGGUACGGCCCAGACUCCUACGGGAGGCAGCAGUGGGGAAUAUUGCACAGUGGGCGGAAGCCUGAUGCAGCAACGCCGCGUGCGGGAUGAAGGCCUUCGGGUUGUAAACCGCUUUAGCCUGUGACGAAGCGUGAGUGACGGUAAUGGGUAAAGAAGCACCGGCUAACUACGUG
rnacentral:rRNA from 1 species